UACGUAGGCAGCGAGCGUUGUUCGGAAUUACUGGGCGUAAAGAGUGUGUAGGCGGUGCUCCCAGUCUGUUGUGAAAUCUCCCGGCUUAACUGGGAGGGUGCAGCGGAAACUAGAGUGCUAGAGGGUGGGAGAGGUAAGCGGAAUUCCAGGUGUAGCGGGUGAAAUGCGUAGAUAUCUGGAGGAAUACCGGUGGCGAAGGCGGCAUCCUGGACCGGCAUUGACGCUGAUGAGCGAAAGCUAGGGGAGCAAACGGG
rnacentral:rRNA from 1 species